UACGUAGGGGGCAAGCGUUGUCCGGAUUUAUUGGGCGUAAAGAGCGUGUAGGCGGUUUGGUAGGUCCGCUGUGAAAACUCGAGGCUCAACCUCAGACGCCGGUGGAAACCCUCGAACUAGAGUCCGGAAGAGGAGAGUGGAAUUCCUGGUGUAGCGGUGAAAUACGCAGAUAUCAGGAAGAACACCCGUGGCUAAAGGCGGCUC
rnacentral:rRNA from 1 species